AGCGAACGCUGGCGGCAGGCCUAACACAUGCAAGUCGAACGGAUCCUUCGGGAUUAGUGGCGGACGGGUGAGUAACACGUGGGAACGUGCCCUUUGGUUCGGAACAACUCAGGGAAACUUGAGCUAAUACCGGAUGUGCCCUUCGGGGGAAAGAUUUAUCGCCAUUGGAGCGGCCCGCGUCUGAUUAGCUAGUUGGUGAGGUAAAAGCUCACCAAGGCGACGAUCAGUAGCUGGUCUGAGAGGAUGAUCAGCCACAUUGGGACUGAGACACGGCCCAAACUCCUACGGGAGGCAGCAGUGGGGAAUCUUGCGCAAUGGGCGAAAGCCUGACGCAGCCAUGCCGCGUGAAUGAUGUAGGUCUUAGGAUUGUAAAAUUCUUUCACCGGGGACGAUAAUGACGGUACCCGGAGAAGAAGCCCCGGCUAACUUCGUGCCAGCCGCCGCAGUAAGAC
rnacentral:rRNA from 1 species